UUUUAUCUUGUUAUUUGAAGUCAAUUUAUUGACUUGUGAAUUUGUCCAGAGGUAGGGUGAGAGUUUCAACCCGCCUAUUUAAGAGUGUGGCAUCACCCUACUUUAGAUGACCAGUAGUAAUAUUGGAAAAUGGGACAAGUUGGCUCAUUUUAUCUACCUUAAAGAAAUCAAAUGUUCAUGCAAAAUAAUACUAGAAUGACAAUAAUGUUUUUGUUUUU
rnacentral:lncRNA from 1 species